rnacentral:tRNA from 1 species
CAUUAAGUGACUGAAAGUAAGUAAUGGUCUCUUAAACCAAAAGAUGGUAAUUUACAACUACCCUUAAUG